rnacentral:rRNA from 1 species
GUAGCGGCGAGCGAAACGGGAAAAGCCCAAACCAACAAGCUUGCUUGUUGGGGUUGUAGGACUUCGAUAUGGUAGUCUAUUCAGAUAGUCGAAAUACUUGGAAAAGUAUGUCAAAGAGGGUAAAAACCCCGUAGGCGAAAUUUGGAUAACACCUAGGAGGAUCCUGAGUACGGCGGAACACGAGGAAUUCCGUCGGAAUCCGGGAGGACCAUCUCCCAGGGCUAAAUACUCCCUAGUGACCGAUAGUGAACCAGUACCGUGAGGGAAAGGUGAAAAGCACCCCGGAAGGGGAGUGAAAUAGAUCCUGAAACCGUGUGCCUACAACAAGUUAGAGCCCGUUAAUGGGUGAUAGCGUGCCUUUUGUAGAAUGAACCGGCGAGUUACGAUAGCAUGCGAGGUUAAGUUGAAGAGACGGAGCCGCAGCGAAAGCGAGUCUGAAUAGGGCGAAUGAGUAUGUUGUCGUAGACCCGAAACCAUGUGAUCUACCCAUGUCCAGGUUGAAGGUGCGGUAAAACGCACUGGAGGACCGAACCCACGUACGUUGAAAAGUGCGGGGAUGAGGUGUGGGUAGCGGAGAAAUUCCAAACGAACUUGGAGAUAGC